GAUGAACGCUGGCGGCGUGCCUAACACAUGCAAGUCGAGCGAAGCGGGGACGGGUGAGUAACACGUGGAUAACCUCAUAUAAGACUGGGGUAACUUCGGGGACCCGGAGACAAACCGGUCACUUAUAGGGGGUUGCGCGCUGCAUUAGCUAUUUGGUAAGGUAACGGCUUACCAAGGCAACGAUGCAUAGCCGACCUGGGAGGGUGAUCGGCCACACGGGAACGGGGAAACGGCCCAGAUUCCUACGGGAGGCAGCAGUGGGGAAUCUUCCGCAAGGGGCGAAAGCCUGACGGGGCAACGCCGCGUGAGUGAGGAAGGUCUUCGGAUCGUAAAACUCUGUUAUUAGGGAAGCGGUACCUAAUCAGAAAGCCACGGCUAACUACGUGCCAGCAGCCGCGGUAAUAC
rnacentral:rRNA from 1 species